rnacentral:tRNA from 2 species
GCUGAGGUAGCUCAGUCGGUAGAGCGAUUGAUUCGUAAUCAAUAGGUCGAGGGUUCGAAUCCCUUCCUUAGCUCCA